ACGGGUCUCAUAGGCACUAGGACUUCAUGAAAAGCUUCAGAAGAGCUGCUGGGGUGAGCCCCAGGGUUCUUUUAAAGGAAGACAGCAAGCCACCUCCUGUCACUAGCCAACAUCCACCGGGCUCAGAACUGCAGGACUGCUACGCUGUACUCUCUGGUGUUUUUCCACUUGCUUGUCGAAGUUCCUGGAAGAGAAGCCUGCUUGGAGGAAAUGCACUGGAGUGAGAAGGUAUUUUAGCGCCAGGCCCCUGGACUCAGGAGUUAGAGGAACAGCUCUGCUAAUGUGAGCCGGGGGAGAACCACAGCCUACGCAGUCACUUUGGUUCCCUCUCGCUGAGGAGGAACUCAUGUACUGCUGCACAGAGUGUGGAAUCAGAGGCAUAGCGAGCCUAGGACUCAAGCUGUCCUGAAAGAACUCUCCACAAGGCUUUUGAUGGACGAUGGGCACCACCUGACAAGGCCUCAGCGCUGCCACAAAAGCACGGAGCUCGGAGUAAGAUGAAUGGUCAGAGUACGGGACGGUGUAGAUGCUGGGGUGAGGGCUGCGCACUUUCCGGCUUGUGGGGAAAAUAGCAAUGGUAGGGUGACUCUGGUUCCACUGAAGCAUGGCAGAGUGGCAGAUCUCCGUAUGGUCCACAGCAUGGAUGCGCCCGGCUUCUUCCUCAACUGUGAACACGUCUGCCAGGCCCAGCAACUGUACCAACUCCAGGCGUUGAGGACUUAAUACCACCCAGGUCCGAAACUCAAGGGCUAGUUGCUCCAGCAGUGAUUCUUUUCCUAGACUAUAGAG
rnacentral:lncRNA from 1 species